GGGGUGUGGAAGCGUAGUAAUGCGUUGAGCUAACCCGUACUAAUUGCCCGUGAGGCUUAACCAU
rnacentral:rRNA from 1 species